GAUGAACGCUGGCGGCGUGCCUAAUACAUGCAAGUCGAGCGAACGGACGAGAAGCUUGCUUCUCUGAUGUUAGCGGCGGACGGGUGAGUAACACGUGGAUAACCUACCUAUAAGACUGGGAUAACUUCGGGAAACCGGAGCUAAUACCGGAUAAUAUUUUGAACCGCAUGGUUCAAAAGUGAAAGACGGUCUUGCUGUCACUAUAGCUGGAUCCGCGCUGCAUUAGCUAGUUGGUAAGGUAACGGCUUACCAAGGCAACGAUGCAUAGCCGACCUGAGAGGGUGAUCGGCCACACUGGAACUGAGACACGGUCCAGACUCCUACGGGAGGCAGCAGUAGGGAAUCUUCCGCAAUGGGCGAAAGCCUGACGGAGCAACGCCGCGUGAGUGAUGAAGGUCUUCGGAUCGUAAAACUCUGUUAUUAGGGAAGAACAUAUGUGUAAGUAACUGUGCACAUCUUGACGGUACCUAAUCAGAAAGCCACGGCUAACUACGUG
rnacentral:rRNA from 1 species